GCGUGGGGGUUAUCUGAAAUAAAUCUCAGCGUCGCCCACCUACCUCUUGAAAAGUUCAAAUGUGAAAGCCUCCGCGCUCUGAUUUGCUAAGUGGGACGAGUAAUUAGAGGAUGGGAAAUAUUACCGCGAUCUUAACGAACCUUGUUAAGGUUGGAAGACGGGGCGAAAGUAAAUGGGACAGCCUAAAAGACACUGUGGAAUCGAGGGCUCCUCACUGAGACAGUUUAGACAUGAUUUGCACGUAGUUUCACUUCAUUCUGCCGGCACACGAGAAGCUUCAGAUUUUUCACUAACUGCAGACGACCACCUUUAAAAAGGGAAGGACUCAUAGUAAAUACUAUCCUCCAGUCUUACGGGCAGCCGUCAGUGUAUCUGAACAGAAACCCGGUUGAAUGAUCGACGAUCUGCAUUUGUCUCUUGGGAAAUCUUAUCGUCCAAGUUAGAUAUGACACAAGCCGACCAACGGGUAACCCAUGACUGAAAUUGUUGACUAGGCUUCAUGACAAUUGAGUCUUUUUUCAAAAAGGUUAUGUUGACUUUUUUUGCAACAAGACAGAAGAAUCUGUUCUUUGAGAAUGUUGGACAACACAAGAUGGUGUACAAAGAGAAUAAUGAACAAGUCUAAGUUCUGCUUUUCAAAGUGCAAAGUUAAGUCCACAUCUAUAAGCAAAUAGCAAUGUCACUCAUUCACCAAAUUGAUAAGUUCAGCAAUUUCUUAUCAUUUUUUUUCUACAAAAUGCACUGAUGCGAUUAACAAAAGUUUAUAUUGUGUUCCCUUCUGCUGCGGAUAAUGCAGGAAACGUGUUUCCUAAUUAGCUGAGAAUGAACAUCUCAGUGGCUUAAUACCAGUUUAUUUUGAAAGAUUGUUUCCCAAGGAUGUUUUAGUCAAUUCUGAAGCACUUUGGGUUGCUUAAACGUAAUCUUGCCUUGUGACGGUAUCUUUUCAGUUUAAGGUAACCUUGCCUGCAUUAAAAGUGUUAAUAUGUUAAGCGAUGAAAGGAGUAGAAUCUCUCUCUCUCUCACACACACACACACACACACACAAACAUACAAACGCACAGCGUCCAUUAAUCGAGUUUGCGACAAUAGAAGGUCAGACGCACAUAUCGUGGCUAACUUCUUUAAAUAGAUUUUGAUAUUUAGGGAAUGUAUUUUCCUCGAUUAACUUACAGGACAAUGGCACAAAUACAUCGUUCACUGAACUUGUAAUUUACGUUUGAGCAACGUCUGUCGAAUAUCAUAUUCAUCUGCCUUCCGGUUUCUAUGCCACAAUCAAUAUUGAUAAGGACGUCAGAAGUCUGAAAGAAGAAUGAGCAGCAAAACCGUGACAGAAAAGGGAUUACCGCCAGGAAACAGGGGAACAAAAGAAAAAAUGGCAGAAGUUUUGGUUCCAACCUCACGAAAGCCGGAAGGUCUCGACUUUUUGACGUUAUUAUCGCGUUUGUGCAAGCCUGAUUUACAUUAUAGACUAAGCCGGGGUGUCCAACUCAUUCCUGGAGUGUCACCAACGUCAGAAACUCACUCUGCUGAUCCCAUUCGGCAAUGUCAGGGUCUAUAUAUGCUGUAGUACUACAUGAGUUAAAAUUGCAUUGUAGGGUUUGUGUGACUUUGCAGAUGGCUAACAAAAAACCACCAAACAUAGACAAAUAUAUCCGGAAAGACUUGAAGGAAUUUUCAGAAUGUAUAAAUAAAAUGUUUAGAAAUUAUAGAAUGCUUAUUUAAUAACGUGGUAAACAGCACGGACACCUGUUAAACUCAAUUUUCAACUUUAAAAAGAUGGCAUAGAUAAGAUGGCAUAGAAGGCAACAAUACAUUGUCAGUUUUCACGCUUUGUGGCUGUUCUCAAAAUGAUACGAUGACUAAAACAAUUUCAAAGUAAAUUAAUGCAGACUUUUAAUUAAUUGAUAGUUUCCUGGGGAAAAAAAUCGAAUAUAUAUCGCAAAGUGCAAUUUUUAAAAAUUGACGUGAUACAAGAUAUAUAUGUUGUUAGGCGUGCAUAUUUUCCACCGAUAUUAGUAAACUCGCUAAACAAAUUGCAAAUAUUUUACAAAUGGUUUCGGCAUAGAUCUACCAACUUAUUUAUUUAUUUAUCAAUACAUAAAUAACUUUGAACGUUAUCCAUCUAUAGAUAAGUUUGAUAAGUUUCAAAGUUUGAUAAAUUAAAGAUUACGUAAAUAAUUUGAGCCAAAAACGAGUAAUGUGGUUAUUAGAACCGAAACCUUUCAAAACUUCCCGUCUCUUCCAUCACUAUAUCACUUUGUCUUAAGUUGAUAUGAUUAUUACAUCUAUGUCUACUUUAAAAGAGGCGCGGAAAAUAUUAACGAUUCAGCUACGCCAUAAUUUUCUAUUGCAAUAUAAAAAUACAUGCAUUGUUUUAUGACAAUCCAGUGUGCAGAAAACCCAAACAGACACAACUAUUUAUAGUGCAAGUAAACGCCUAUACAAAAGCAAACCCUUUAAUGGAGGAACGGCAUACUUGAGUGCAUUGUGCUUUCCAAACUAAUUAUAGACAGUAAUAUAGAUUUAGGCUAAGAUGUUUAUUUUUAAAUAAUUUAAACGAUGCACAGGCGCUUCAUCUGAUUACAAAUAAAAUAUGUAUAAAGAACAGCUGUUUGUAACAGCAUCAUUCAGGAGCAAGCAGGGCUGUAUUAAUUUUAAUUAAUUAAUGAGAGCGCCUAAUGUCUGAGGGCUUUUGCUCGAAACGUCGAUUUUACUGCUCCUCGGAUGUUGCCUGAACUGCUGUGCUUUUCCAGCACCACUAAUCCAGAAUUAUUUAUUGAUGCCCUGCGUUGAUAACAUUUCAAAACAUAAAUAUGAGGACAAUUUAUUUAUGCAUACUAGUUUCA